CAGGCCUAACACAUGCAAGUCGAACGGUAACAGGAAGCAGCUUGCUGCUUUGCCGGCGAGCGGCGGACGGGUGAGUAAUGUCUGGGAAACUGCCUGAUGGAGGGGGAUAACUACUGGAAACGGUAGCUAAUACCGCAUAACGUCGCAAGACCAAAGAGGGGGACCUUCGGGCCUCUUGCCAUCAGAUGUGCCCAGAUGGGAUCAGCUAGUAGGUGGGGUAACGGCUCACCUAGGCGACGAUCCCUAGCUGGUCUGAGAGGAUGACCAGCCACACUGGAACUGAGACACGGUCCAGACUCCUACGGGAGGCAGCAGUGGGGAAUAUUGCACAAUGGGCGCAAGCCUGAUGCAGCCAUGCCGCGUGUAUGAAGAAGGCCUUCGGGUUGUAAAGUACUUUCAGCGGGGAGGAAGGCGAUAAGGUUAAUAACCUUGUCGAUUGACGUUACCCGCAGAAGAAGCACCGGCUAACUCCGUGCCAGCAGCCGCGGUAAU
rnacentral:rRNA from 1 species